rnacentral:rRNA from 1 species
UUCGGGGUUUUAUUUUUGGUUUUUUAAGAAAAAAAAUUAAUUUUAAUUUAAAGGAAUUUUACACUUAAAAUAAAGAAGGGUAGGGUAGAUCUUAGCUUUCAAUUAUAUAAAAUUUAUAAGGCAUGUGCCUAAAAGAAUACGCUGAAAUAAGCUUUAAUAGUAGCUACUUUAUUAACGUAUUUCAACUCAGGUUAAUUCAAAAUAUGAUUUUUAUUCCUUUAAAACAGGUAUUAGAACAUUUAUUUAAACUUGAUAGAUAAAGAAAUUAUGAAACUACUAGUAAAAUACUCUAUACUUUUUAAUUUUUUUUUUUUAAAAAAAAAUUUAUUCAAAAAUUAAUUUCAAUUUAAAAAACCCACCAAAUAAAGUUCCCCCCGGUUAAACAAAAACUUGUCAAAAUAAACCAAUUUCGGGCCUACCCGGCCCCUUGAAAAAUUUACCGCCCCCGGUCUUUCUGAUGGGGCGAGGGUACC